rnacentral:lncRNA from 1 species
UCAAGUCACCUCCCUCUUUGUUAAUUAAUUCAAAAGUAUCAGAGUACUCUGUUUUAGCCUGGAGACACUAUGUCUUGGAGAAAACCUUGGAGUUUAUAUCAAGUGCCAACUGCCAAAUACUCUACUAAAAAUUUUGUUAUCCUUAUGGAUCCACAUUUUGCUUUCUAGUCAAAGCACGAAAUUUAAAAGUGAAUAAUUAAGUUUGAGCAGUUCUAACUUAACCACACACAAUGAGAUGCUCAUCCUUUCAAGAUAGAUACGAAUUUAAACUUGCAGCUUCCUGGAAGUGGCCACCGAAAGUGCAUCAGACAAAAAAGAAAAGGAAUCACAAGCUCUAAUUCUAUAA